rnacentral:ribozyme from 1 species
UGCCCAGCAACUCCUAUCCCUACCUCCACGCGGUACCGGCCGGAAACUAUGAGCAACCUUAGGGAAGAUCGGGUAACUAACCCCGAAGGGAACUUUGGUCGUAGGCUGACAGGGAAGG